AGUGCUUGGGGCGCAUGGAUCACGACACUGUGCACGGUAACUUGUGGGCAGUUCGCCACCUCUACGGUAUCCCGGACUCGAACCUGCACCAAUCCGCCUCCGGCUCACGGUGGGAAGGAUUGCUCUGAGAAUCUUAUUGAAAGUAACCCCAUAAGUUGCGGUCUCCCGAGUUGUACAGUACAUUUCGGUGACUGUACUGACGCUGAUGACUGUGCUGCUAACGAUACCGAUUGUAAUGAAGGGAAGUGUACGUGUGACCUAAUGCACGAGUACUCGAGCGGCAACUGUGUCCAAGGGUGUUCGACAUAUGGACCGGACUUCACUCUAUUCAAAAAUAAAGUCUUGAAUGGGUACAACAACAGAAUCAUCUACAACGUAACUACAAUAGAGGCAUGUAUGUCGUUAUGUUUUGCAGAAAAAGAUUUCCUGUGUAUUACAGCAGAUUAUAAACAUGCAACGGUAGGUUCCUGCUUCCUGAGUAGAUCAGCUCUAUAUGCGGUCCCAGCAAAUGCUGUUGCGAACUCUCAGACAUACCAUCAAGUUGUCCGUAAUUGUGCUUAGGAUCCUGUCGCUCCGUAGUUCCAUGCAACAUUGGUUUAAACAAAUAUUGAACCUUUCCAUAUGAUUUUAUGUUUACAAUACGUUGGCUUACGAAUAUACUUAAAAACAUUAGGAAUAAGUCUUAUCUUGUUUCGAUCCAUCACACACGGUGGGCUGGCGCUCAGUUUACUUGCCAAGUGUGAAUUGGUUAGUUUGCAAUGUAUUGAAAUUUACGUUUUGAAUAGCUCUUUCAAAAUAUUUGAUUGAUAGCUUCAUCGUGUAUGUUGCUUGUUAAUGCUUGUCACAGAUGAUAAACCCAUGAAGACCCUGGAAAGAAUUGACCUUCAGGGACCCUAUCCACAAAGCGUUCGUAGCACUACGACAUACGUAAGCCUAUUUUAAACUAUGGAUUUACGACAGGUCGUAAAGUUACGAGCGCUUUGUGAAUCAGGGCCCAGGAACCCAUACUUGUCGUGAGAUGCGACUAACUUGCGCGGUGAUCAGGCCCGCUGACUUGGUUGACACAUGUC